UGUGUGCCGAUUACAAAUUUACCAAAUGAGAGACAACUGUCAAAUUAGUAUCAUGGACAACUUGAUUGAAAUUUGGUUCACUGUUGGAAUUGAAUGGAAAAAGGACCAUAACAACUGGCACGACUACCCUACAGUAGCUAACAAACUAUCAAAUAAACUCACAGUUCGUUUGACUUCCAUUGCUUUCAGCCCAAACCCUUCCAACCUUCACCGAUAGCAAAUCAACAGUUGCUCCAACGGCGAACGAACAAAUAGGACAAGUUACUAUUGUGUAAAAGUGCUACACUUCCGGUCCAUGGUGUCGUGCUGCCCAACACACGACGGGCGUGUUGCAGUAAUGUCUCUACCUCUAUCGAACGAGGCACAUGAAGCAGAAUCACUAGCAGCAGCAGCAACAGCAGCCAACGACUUUCGAACAAGUUCGAACACUCCAACCAGCUAAUGGAAGGAGAAAAUAAAAACUGUUCCCUUCCACGUUCACGUACUUUUCGAUUGAGCUUGGCAAACAAAAUCACAUCACUCCCAAAAGGACCAUUUUCGUUGCCGUGCCAGUCCCUUCGGUGGAAGAGGAUUUGAAAAUUGAACCAUCAAAUGGAUUGGAAUCAAAAUCUCGCCCAUGGUGUGCCACAGGUCUCCCGGUCACGAAAACUUUCGUCUGUCUCGAUGAAAGUGAUUUAUGAUGGCCAGACCCCAUACGUAGCAAGCAGGCUGGCAGGCAGGCAGGCAGUGAACGGUGUGAGAAAAAAGGGGGAAAAACCUCCACACCACGGGCUGGCGGAAAAGGUAGCAUAGAUCGCUUACGCUCCUCUGGGGGAAACAUCGAAACAUGGGGGGCGAAACUUCAACCACGGCCACCAGUGUACCAGUUGCAUGCAAAGAUGUGCCACUGUGUCUCCUGUUUCUACUGAAACUAUUUUCUUCUCGUUUUUUUCUUUCUAUAGUUUAAUGGAAUUUUUAAAUACAUCCUGUUGAGGGGCGAACCAGUGGACUAAAUGAAACUUUGGGACAACAUCCGGCAAAGCAAUAGGGCAACGUUUUUGCCACAACACAGCAAAACAUUCGAUUGACCGUGUGCUGUACAGUUUUUGUGCUGUUUAAAUAUCAAAUCCCUAUCUAGAGACGUAAAACUUAUCCGAUUUUCUUUGCAGGAUACAUGUUUUGUACAAGUAUGCUGGUUGAACUGAACUUUGACCAGCAUGAUGUUUGCUGUCGGAACUACUACGUCUCUUUUUACCGCGCUAUGCUCACCUAACAUAUGGGCUGUUCCUAUUCACUUUAGUUUUCUAAUGGUUCCCCCAAUCGAGGCACUAGCAAAAAGGUCAACCUCCACAACCUUGCAGUCCCCAGUUUUGACAGGAUGCAAUUACGCCCUGUCAAAUUGGUGCAUUAAAAGCUGCAUACUUAUCGAAUCGCCACCGCGCUUCGUUUGCGGUGUGAUUUAGUGAGACUGAUGAUAAUGGGGAGGAGGCGGAUGAUGCUGCCCCUCGUUUAUUGCAGCAAAUGAACUUGCAGCGUGCAGGCCAAUUAAGUCGUUUAUCAUGCACGGUUUGCCUUUGGAGCAAAUAUGCUAACGGAGCCACUAAUUUGCGUAAAUCAAAUUUGGAAUUGGGGGAGUGCAACUCAAUUGGAUCGAACUAGAUCAUGUGAAGUAACAGAAAAUUCGUUCAUAAAAUCUGCUCGAUGUAUUCCUUUUCUGCUAAAA